UCUCCUGACGCUCCCUUGUAAAACUUCCAGAGAGUCCAUUAAGUCUGGUUAAUAUAAGGGACUGUCAGCGAGCUGCAACAUUAUAUCAAUGUUACAUCGGUGCCGUCCUUGACGCUUCUGUCACGCUCCUUUUAGAAAAGGGAGAGCCGGUGAUGAGAGAGACAGUCGGAGAUAAAGAAGUGAGGGAACAGAACACCAUCCAGACCAGAAACAGCUCUCAACACCUCCGUAAUGAUGUUGGACUCGCACACACAGGACUCUUUCUGUCUGCGUUUCCUCUGCUGGUCGUCCCAAGCCCUUCAGGCUGAGCUUUAAACUCUGACCUGUUCCUUUUAUCCUGCUGUGUGUUUAAACUAUUCAGGCGUGUCGGAGAAAACGAGGCCACAAGAAGCUGGAACACGAACUAGACUUUCCCUAAGCUCAAAUAAAAGGCACGAGGGGAAAAAAAGCAGGAAAGUGAUGAAGAAAAGCUGUCAGCCAAGCGUCAGAGAUGGAUGAAAGAGUUAGUGACCUCUGACCUCCCCCAGACCCCUUCCUCAGCUCCCCAAAACCCCCAAAACUCUCACAGAGCAACGACAGAUUCCUUUCAGCACAGCGUCAGCUCAACAAUAGCAUCGGCUGCAUCCCACAGAUACUGCAACUCCUCAGAAGAGAUGAGUAAUGCAUUACUUUCUUUCUGUUCACACUAAAUCUACCAAGAACCAUAAGGAAACCUGAAACAGACCCAGAUGACUGCACUUGAGUCCUGAGCGAGAAUGUAACCUUUGAUCUGUGACCUCUCAGGUCAAAGGUCAAGGGUGGUGCCGGCUUUCCCUCAUCAUCGCUAUGGAAACCACGCAAAGUGUUUGCAGUGCGUCUUUGCGGCUCUUCUACAAAUAGCAGCACAUGUCUAGAAGCCAUGAAGCACAAGAGAAGUCCAACUUUUUCUUUUCUCUGUCAACACAUCUGUGUGAUGUGUAUUUAUUAUUGUCACAGGCUCUUAUUUGGCUUGAUCUAUGGCAGAAUGAAAUGUCAGUUUUAAAGAUAAUUACAUUUUUUUCUCCUCCAACAGAUCCAUUCAUCACAUUCGCGGUCCUCUGCCAUUUUUAGACUCUGGAUAACAUGCCUCGACUCAUUCCAUCUUUCUCUUGCUCUCUCACACACAUCCACAGUGAGUCACAUCCUAUUAUGUGGCAUGAAGUCACCAGAAAUCUGUUAAUUACAAAGUCCAGAGCCCAACUAGUAUGAUUAUGAUGAAGUUAUUUCCAUGAGAACGUUCAGCAGUCGUGGAUUUACUGCUUCUUUUACUCUGUGUUUGUAAUCAGCAUCUCUUUUUCUCAUGGGAGGAGAGUCCUCAGUCCUCUUUAUUACACAAGCACAAUGCUGAUAAACCAAUCAGAAACACUCUUAUUAUUACCACCUGAUAACAGAUUUGUGCUUGAGAGGAGAAGAAAUAAGACGCAGGGAUGGAUGGAUGGAUGGAUGGACGGAAGUCACAAUGCAGAAAAUAAUUAAGAACCCCAUUUGAAUUUCAGUUAAGUUCCCGAAUUUGAAUUGAGGCCAUUCAAACAUAAAUUUAAAUUAAUUUAAAAAUGUAAAGGAAUUUAUAGAAGCAUGAAAACUUGUUUGCGCCACUGAAUAAAAAAUAAAAAAGGCAAUUGUGACUUUUUAAUCUCAUAAUUUUGAUCUCACUUUUUUUCUAGCAUUUGCGAGUUUACAUUAUGCAGUUCUGACUUUAUAACACACAAGUGUGAUUUAUAAAGUUAGAAUUUUGAGAUAUAAACUUGCCAACGAAAGAAAACAUCAGAAUUGUGAACCAACUUCUUUUUUCACCAGAACUUGGCUUUAUAAGUCGCAGUUGUAUGUUUGUUUUUCAUAAUUGCAAGAAAAACGUCAGAACUGAAAGAUACAAUUUCGCAAUUUCAUCAUUAUUAAGUGUAGCCACAUAAUGACAUUUAGUAACUUUUCAUAAUGGAAUCCUUCCCGGAUGAAUUUCAAAUACAUCUGCGUGCAGAAUUGUGUUGUGAAAUUUGUGAAAAAACUGUGAAAUUUCAUAACUCUAAAUGGAUAGUGUUGCAAUGUUACGACCCUGUCUAGGGAAAGGCCGCAACAUAAACCGAAAUCAGCAAUCAAAGAUCGUUUUUACAUUUAUUUACAGAACCACAGGGUAAAAGCACAACUUCAGGGGUGAGCAAAGCCCAAAACAACAAACAAACACCAAGUAAGCUCCUAACAGAAAAUACUAAAUUUCCUAACAAAAUAAAUAAAAAUAC